UCGCAGUGGCUGGGAGCUGCUCUGGGGCUCUCGGCCAACCUGCAAGCGCAGGAGGGGUGACACCUGGCCGGUUCGUUUACUGGGAUACACCGUACCGGUCACCGCGGGCUGGCUUGGAAGACUUCUAACGCAAGCAAAAUAAAGGAAAGUGCGGCGAAGUGAGGCUGCAUGCACAGAACUCGCGCGGUGCAAGUUACAGCAGACCAAGUGCUUGCAGCUUGGUGCGAAUGAACUUUAAUUCCCGGCCAUCGCUGAAGAGAGCGGAAGAGAAAAAAGAGCGAGCGAGAGAGAGAGAGAGAGCAUCAUCUUCCAGCCAGUGUGUAGGAACGAGAGCGAAGACCUGCAGACAAGGUGAAUAUCAGGGGAAGUCUGAAAAGUGAAGAGUGGUGCUGUUUGACAUUUCAAGAGAGCCAGAAGUAUUACCUCCCUCGUGAUUCAUUGGGUCUAGGUCAAUACGUUACCCUCGCAAACAAAACU